AGCUAAAAACAACAAAAACAAACAAAAACAAAAACAAAAACAAACAAAAACCCGCCGACUUUUUAUCCGCGUUUUAAUGUUCACUAUUGUAGAAUUAUCCUGAAUGGAGAAAGGGGAGAGAAGAGAGAGAGACAGGAAAAUACCGACACACACACACACACACAUAUAUAUACACACACGCGCGCGCGUAUUCACACACACACACACACGCGCGCGCGCGAACAGGAGGAGAAAAAGAAAAGUCGGGAAAAAGCGGUGAAAGCGCGCGGAGUGAAGCGGCUCGAACAGCGCGUCUGAUCGCAGUCACUUACUUGUCUGAGUCCUGUGACAUGGUGAUGUUUUUGGCCUCCUCGGCGAUAAUUCCUGGAGAAACUGGACUUUCAGUUCUUUAACGCUCUCUGAGCCUUUGACAGCUGAGACAUCAACAGGUACAGACAUGACGUGUGUGUGUGUAUGUGUGUGUGUGUGUGUGUGUAGUUGCCAUGUCCACACACUGCAUUCCUUUCUAACAGUAGAGAGGUGUAGCGGUGCUGCAUGCCUGAGAUUUCUGAGUGGAGAGGGAAGGAAACCUGUCAGUACCUGCCUGGCCUGAUCCCGCGUACCUGUUGGACAGACGCUCUACCCCAGUGGUGCUCACUGCUGCUGGAGAUAGAUCUGUGUGGUCAGCCGGUGACCCAGGGGACUGCUGUGGACAGAGCCACUCUGAGACCAUCACACCGUCUCUGACCUGCUGUUACAUCGGUCAGCUUUUAGCAGGAAGGAAUGAGCACUAAGUCUAUAAUGUCCUCAGAAACUACACUGAUUAGUUCCUCAAGAGCUCUUGGUUGCUGUUGUUGAAAGGACAUCUACAGUUACAUUAUUUACUGUCCAGCGUCGCCCAGAUGAGGAUGAGGUUCCCUUCUGAGGCUGGUUCCUCUCAAGGUUUCUUCCUCAGAUCAUCUCAGGGAGUUUUUCCUCACCAUCGUCACCUCAGGCUUCUCAUUAGGGAUAAACGUUAGAGAUAAAUAAUAACUGAACUUUAAACUAUAUCAUUUUUUCUGUUUCUGUAUUUCUGUAAAGCUGCUUAGAGACAAUGUCCAGGGUUAAAAGCACAAUACAAAUAAAUUCAAUUGAAUUGAAAAUUGAAUACUGACCUUCACCUGCGUGCCUGAAACCACAAUACACUAUACCUUAUAUAAUAUACUAUAUUUUACAUACUGUACUAUACACUCUAUACUGUACUGUGUGACACACACUAUACAAUAUACUCUAUAUGCUAUACCAUACACUGUGUGCUGUAUUAUACACCAUGCUAUACUCUUAUACACUGAUAUAUUAUGUGAUCUGUGAGCAGAAUAUUGUUAAAGUAGCCAUACAUGAAGUACAUCAAGUAACAGGAAGUACAUCAGGGAUAAAGGGGGUAACUUCCUCAUAACACCCCUGGUGCUCACGGACGUAUUUCUACAUGUGAGCGGUUGAUACGUCA